AGAAGAAGAUCUCAUCUUUCGAAUGUACAAACUUGUCCGGGACAGGUGGGAUUUAAUAGCAAGGAGAGUCGUAGGACGAGAGGCGAAGGAGAUAGAGAGAUUUUGGAUUAUGAAAAACUCUGACUAUUUCUCUCACAAAUGAUAGCACUGCGACAUCCUCCAUGUGUUUCUAUGUCUCAUCCUCAUUAAUUUUGUUAUUGUGGACAAAAUAAGCUUUAAUGUAUUUCUUAUUUUCAUCAGAUAUUCACAUGAUACCUCCAGCUAGUAUUAUAAAUUACUUCCAAAUAAAUGUGAUCGAAUUAGUACACUAGUA